rnacentral:lncRNA from 1 species
GAGCUGCACACCAUCUUCCCAUGGCUGGUAGAGAGCAUUUUCAGCAGCCUAGAUGGUGUCCUCAUUGGCUGGAACCUCUGCUGUUUACAGGGGCACGUGGAUCCUGUGGAGUACAGCAUCGUGAUGGAGUUUCUCAAUCCUGGUGGCCCAAUAAUGAAGUUGGUUUAUAAGCUUCAAGCUGAAGACUAUAAGUUUGACUUUCCCAUCUCCUUCCUGCCUUCCUGUGAAGGCGUCCAUCCAGGACUGCAUCCUCCCUGACAGUCCCCUGUACCACAACAAGGUCCAGUUCCCCCUCACUGGGGACCUUGGCCUGAAUCUAGUCCUGAAUCUGUUGGAGUAUUACAUAUUCUCCUUUGCCUUGAGCCUCAUCACUCAAAAGCCACUCCCUGUGUCCCUCCACGUCUGCACUUCAGAUGUGCCUACUUCAUCUUGGUGCACAGGUACCUGUUAUGGUUCCUGCCCACUGAAGGCAAUGUGCCCCCCACACUCUUCUCCAGCCCAGGGAAGCCAGACGCUCACCAGCUCCCAGGACACCAGCCAUGCCCUUUGCUUCCUACAGCCUCCACCACACUAGCCUCCUGCAGCAAAACAUCUCUCAUCAGACCUCUGUGAAUGCAGACCCCACCUCUCACGAGAUCUGGAGGUCAGAAACUCUGCUCCAGGUUUUUGUUGAAAUGUGGCUUCACCAGUAUUCCUUGGGGAUGUGACAAAAAAUGCAGUCCCCUCACGACAAGCAGUGGUUCAGGCCCACUGGGGAGCACGUGCUGGUGGUGUGCCUGCUGCUGAAGCACCUGCAGGCAUUUGCCAACAGCCUGAAGCCUGAGCAGGCCUCGCUCUCCUCCCACUCCCACUCCACCAGCCGCCUGGAGGAGUUGAAAUGGGCCACUGUCCCAAGAUUCGUCCAGCAGAAACUCUACCUCUUCCUGCAGCGUUACUUUGGCCACUGCCCACUGGCCGCAUCGUUCAGAGCUGUCCUGGAAAUGUGGCUGAGCUACCUGCAGCCAUGGCGGUAUGUGCCUGACAAGCAGGCUCCAGGCAGCGACUCCCAGUCCCGGUGUGCAUUGGAGAAAUGACCAGUGUGUGGAGAGCCCCCUGGCUGCUCCUUCCUGUUGUGGCUGGGCUUUGGCCCCCAUGAAUACCAACGGCUCCUACUCAGCCAACGACCUGGACAAGAUGGGGCGGGACAGUGUCCAGAAGACAGACAAGUACCUGGAGGCGGCCCUGGAGUACCUGCACCAGAUAUUCCCGUGAAGCACAGCUCACACAAUUCACACUUGCCUUGGGCACCACCCAGGAUGAGAAUGAAAAGCAGCAGCUCCUCGACUGCACCGUGGGUGAGGAUGGACUCAUCCUCAUGCCGCUGGGUCAGUACCAGAUCAUCAAUGCACUGUGAAGGUUUGACAUUGAGUACCAGGGGACCCAGAGCUGCAGUCCAUCUGGAGCUACGAGAUUGCCAGCUUGAUCUGUGUGCUCUUCCAGUGGUCGUCUGCCAUCAACCACAGAGUGAGUGGGCAGGAGGUCAGCUCUGUGUUCCUGGGACGACUUCCUUGGCAGCUUCUGUCUCUUAUCAUUUCAUGAGCCUGUGCUGGCCAGCAGGCACCUGCUAAGCCUCAUGGGCAGAUGCAGGCAGCCGG